UAUCACAGUCUUAUCCGGUCA
rnacentral:miRNA from 1 species